GACGAACGCUGGCGGCGUGCUUAACACAUGCAAGUCGAGCGGUAAGGCCCUUUUGGGGGUACGACGAGCGGCGAACGGGUGAGUAACACGUGGGUGACCUGCCCUCAGCUCUGGGAUAAGCCUGGGAAACGUGGGUCUAAUACUGGAUAUGACCUUUCCUCGCAUGGGGGUUGGGGUGGAAAGUUUUUCGGCUGGGGAGUGGGCCCGGCGGCCUAUCAGCUUGUUGGGCGGGGUGAUGGCCUACCAAGGCGACGACGGGUAGCCGGCCUNAGAGGGCGACCGGCCACACUGGGACUGAGACACGGCCCAGACUCCUACGGGAGGCAGCAGUGGGGGAAUAUUGCGCAAUGGGGCGGAAGCCUGACGCAGCGACGCCG
rnacentral:rRNA from 1 species